GAGAAGAUGACAUAUUGGAUAAAGGGUGGAAAUUCAGAGAUGAAAAGGCCAAGUUUCCUGUCCUCAAGAAAUUGCUGGUGUGAUCAGGUCGAGUUGUAAAAAUAUGAUCCACCAAGAACCAAGAUGCCCUGGAGGGGAAGCCAAUUUGCAGCCCUAAAAAGAAGCUAAAAUUGGACGCAUAUUAUAAUUCAAUGCAUUAUUGAAUGCAUGUAACGAGGAAAACCACGUUCAGAAAUGUGAGCCAAUUUGACUCAGAAUCCAUCAAGCCAUAUUACCACCAACCUCCAUGUCAUCCGACAAGCAUUUGAGUGGCUUCCCUG